CUUCUUAGAAGGUUCACCUCUUGAGAUCAUAUGGGAGAUGAUUCAAGUGUGUCCUUUGGAAUAGCAAUGGAUAAUAACAAACAAACAAAGAAAGUCAACAAAAGCGGAUAUCGGGUGCCAAUCACUGGGCUUAUACCAAUCUCCUAAAAUAAAACUGGAUAUCAGAUGCCACUCAAUGGUCUUACACUAAUCUCCUCAAACAAAGAAAUAAAAGGUGGAUACCGGAUACCAAUAGAUGGAUUUACACCAGUCUCCUAA
rnacentral:lncRNA from 1 species